AGCGGCGAACGGGUGAGUAACACGUAGGUGAUCGGCCCAUCAGACGGGGACAACGAUUGGAAACGAUCACUAAUACCGGAUAGGACGAAAGUUUAAAGGUGCUUCUGGCACCGCUGAUGGAUGAGCCUGCGGCGCAUUAGCUAGUUGGUAGGGUAAAGGCCUACCAAGGCGACGAUGCGUAGCCGACCUGAGAGGGUGAACGGCCACACUGGGACUGAGACACGGCCCAGACUCCUACGGGAGGCAGCAGUAGGGAAUCUUCGGCAAUGGGCGAAAGCCUGACCGAGCAACGCCGCGUGAAUGAUGAAGGCCUUCGGGUUGUAAAAUUCUGUUAUAAGGGAAGAACGACUUUAGUAGGAAAUGGCUAGAGUGUGACGGUACCUUAUGAGAAAGCCACGGCUAACUACGUGCCAGCAGCCGCGGUAAUACGUAGGUGGCGAGCGUUAUCCGGAAUUAUUGGGCGUAAAGAGCGCGCAGGUGGUUGAUUAAGUCUGAUGUGAAAGCCCACGGCUUAACCGUGGAGGGUCAUUGGAAACUGGUCGACUUGAGUGCAGAAGAGGGAAGUGGAAUUCCAUGUGUAGCGGUGAAAUGCGUAGAGAUAUGGAGGAACACCAGUGGCGAAGGCGGCUUCCUGGUCUGUAACUGACACUGAGGCGCGAAAGCGUGGGGAGCAAACAGGAUUAGAUACCCUGGUAGUCCACGCCGUAAACGAUGAGUGCUAAGUGU
rnacentral:rRNA from 1 species